rnacentral:tRNA from 1 species
AUUUAUCUAAUAUAUUAAGUAUAUUUGACUUCCAAUCAAAAAGUUUGAAUUUUCAAGAUAAGUA